UACGUAGGGCGCAAGCGUUGUCCGGAAUUAUUGGGCGUAAAGAGCUCGUAGGCGGCUUGUCACGUCGGGUGUGAAAAACCCCGGGGGCUCAACCCCCGGGCGUGCAUUCGAUACUGCGCGGCUCGAGACAGGUAGGGGAGAUCGGAAUUCCUGGUGUAGCGGUGAAAUGCGCAGAUAUCAGGAGGAACACCGGUGGCGAAGGCGGAUCUCUGGGCCUGUUCUGACGCUGAGGCGCGAAAGCUAGGGGAGCGAACAGG
rnacentral:rRNA from 1 species